rnacentral:lncRNA from 1 species
CAAAUAGAGCAUAGACAUUGUUGGAUGCUAUUUUAAUCAUACCUAUCAGAUAUUUACAUAAUAUUCAUUUAUCAUUCAGGGCUAUAUGUCCAUAUAUAUCUAAGCAUAUAAUAUUCCAUAACAUAUAUAUAAAAGAACUUUAAGAGUUCGGUUUAGUACCUGUCACCACUGAGUUAGAAGCAUUAGCAUCCUGUUGUGUAAGUGCAUAGACUCGUCCUUGGGUCUUUGAUUUUUGUUGUCCCGCAUCUUGUCUUUGUACAUCUUGGGGUGCCCGAUUUGCGGGGGUCUUCUGAUAAUUUUGAGGCAU